rnacentral:rRNA from 1 species
UUUAGAGGAAGUAAAAGUCGUAACAAGGUCUCCGUAUGGUGAACCAGCGGAGGGAUCAUUACCUGAGUUUACAACUCCCAAACCCCUGUGAACAUACCUUAUGUUGCCUCGGCGGAUCAGCCCGCGCCCCGUAAAAAGGGACGGCCCGCCGCAGGAACCCUAAACUCUGUUUUUAGUGGAACUUCUGAGUAUAAAAAACAAAUAAAUCAAAACUUUCAACAACCGGAUCUCUUGGGUUCUGGCAUCGAUGAAGAACGCAGCAAAAUGCGAUUAAGUAAUGUGAAUUGGCAGAAUUCAGUGAAUCAUCGAAUCUUUGAACCGCACAUUGCGCCCGCCAAGUAUUUCUGGCGGGCAUGCCUGUUCGAGCGUCAAUUUCAACCCUCAAAGCCCAGCUUGGUGUUGGGAGCUGCAGUCCUGCUGCACUCCCCAAAUACAUUGGCGGUCACGUCGAGCUUCACAUAGCGUAGUAAUUUACACAUCGUUACUGGUAAUCGUCGCGGCCACGCCGUUAACCCCAACUUCUGAAUGUUGACCUCGGAUCAGGUAGGAAUACCCGCUGAACUUAAGCAUAUCAAUAAGCGGAGGAAAAGAAACCAACAGGGAUUGCCCUAGUAACGGCGAGUGAAGCGGCAACAGCUCAAAUUUGAAUCUGGCUUUCGGGCC